GGAGCCACCCUAAUCCAAUAGAUUUUAUUUUUUACCACUGUUAAAACAAAUUGAGUUCUUCCAACUAUAUCAUAGCACAGAAAUAUAUUAUAUCUAUGGCAGGAAUCCAUGGCCAAAAAAAUGUGAUGAAUAUUUUUAUGGAACUAAAAUAGUGGAUGUAGGUAGGAAGUGUAAGACUCCGUGCCAUAUGCUGUCUCAUCCAGCUCCCCACUGCGCUGCAGUGGCUGAAAUUUCAUUUCAGCAUACACCUUCAUACCCCUGCCAGAGGAUAUUUUUGAACACCGAAGACAAGAGUAAUAUUGCUUUCUACUAGUGAUUAAAAGUAAAAUGCUUAGAUGGUUGUUGUUUUGUUGUCGUUGUUUUGGUCAACUUUUCAGUAUAGACUUCCAAGAGGACUGUUGAAUCUCACUGUGUGCUUAGAAAUGGUUUUAAUCUUAAGAAUUAAAAAAAAAAAAAAAGAAAAGAAAAGAAAAAAAGAAAAGAAAGAAAAAAGAAUUUUACUGUCAUUGACUUUUGGGAAAAUUUGAGUAUGUAAAUAAAUGGAAUUUAUUAGUUCAUCAAAGAAUAUAUGAAGAUCAGGUGUUACCAAAUGGGUUAUUUUUUUUAAAUCCAUUAUUUCAGAGAGCCAUUUUUGUCUAUUUAGGAAGGGGUCCCAAGGCCAGUGUCUAUGAAGUACACAUUGUACACAUUGGUGGUUACUAUUCCUGAUAAAGAAUGGACUCUCAAAAUGGAUGUUGUAAACUACAGGCAAUCUCACUUGUACAUAGCUAAUUCUAAAGGGAAGGCAAUAUCUGAUAUGUUAACUGGUGAUGGAACUGAAUAUAAUAUGUUCCAGUCUAAAUUUAGGUUUCAUUACUGCUAUGUUCAAGAGACUGAGCCCAGUGUGCCCAUUGACUGAACUGAAGUUAAAUGCAUAGAGAAUUUGAAUUCUUUGGCUUUUCUAUAGUGUGAACUUAAAUGAUGUUCAAAACAUGUAUAGAAUGAGUCAUUUGAGUUUCCUCUCUGUCAGGAAGUAGGUGAAGAGCUUUGUAGUCAAGACCCUAUAACUGAUAACAGUGGGGCAUAAGGAGGCUUAAGUAAGUGACCUAAGUUUCCAUAGUCAGCAGGUGACACUGAAGGAGGAGCCUAGAUCCUGCCCAGGGCUGACUUCACAUAAGCUCUCACUCCGGGUAAAUAGAGACAGAUAUAGGAUGCUAACAGCCUGUUGUAAGCCAUGUGCUCAUCAGAGAAAGAAGGUGAUGAUUUAGAUGAAAAUCCUGGAACCUUGCCUGGAUUUUGAAAAGAUAGAACAGAAUAAUAUGUAGAAUCUCUCAGUUUUAUCCCUGUAAGAGUUUUGGUGUUGGUGAUCGUAUUUGAAGGACUGAAAUGAAGGGCAGCGAAGGUAUAUAUCUGAGCAAUUAAAAUUGAUUUUGGGUUUUUUUUUUAUGUGUAUGUGUGCCUUGGCAACAUGUAGGCUUGUGCACCUCAGAAGUACAUGAUGACUGUGAAUAUCAGAAACAGACUGUUAAUGAAGUUACAGAUGGUUAUGAUCCACUAUGUGGAUGCUGGGAAUCAAACCCAGGUCUUCUGCAGGAGCCUCCAGUGCUCCUACCCACUGAGCCAUCUCUCCAGCUUUCCUAGGCAGACAUUUAAAGUAUUUAAAAAUGUAUUUUGUCAGAGUUGUGGGUUCUUUUUGGGUUUGUUUCUCUUUGUAAACUCUCCAGCUGUCAUUUAAUAGGGAGGUAUUUCAGUAUAAAGGGCAUGUAGAAAGCAUAUAUUAUUGGACAAAUAAUAUCUAUUUUUAUCUCCCCUCUUUUGCAGUUUUAGUACUAUGUUAAAUUUCUGUUUGCUACUGAAGUUAACUUGGCAUAGCAUAUUUUAAAUAUUAAGAUAAAAUGGCUGAGGAUUUUUUGAAUUGCAUAAUGUUCUCCUAAGUUUAUUGAAGAUCCUUAAAGCCUCAGUUAACAUUUUGCAUCAAAUUAUUUUUUAAUAUCAGAUUUGAAGUUCUACCCAUCUAAUAGUUUAGCAAUAUUUGUAAACACUCCCAUUACUUCACAACUAAGACAUAAUCAAUAGUCCGUUUAGAGUCAAAGCAAUAUGGCAGAAUCAGAGAAUAAUGGCGUAGGACCUACAGUUAGAAUUCAGUAACCAAGUCUGUGCAUUGUACCCUGGCUUCUAACCCCAGCUCUUGUGUGGCAAUAAAUGAAAUCAGAGAACAUCAUCUUCACCUAUACUGAAUGCUCGCUUUGCUUCCACAAAGAGUAAAUCUAGGUGAAAUUAACUGGAAAAAGGAUCCAGAAAGAGUAGAUGGUAAAAGACUAUAAUGUAUGUAACUGAGACUUUGACAUGAAUUUUGAAGGUAUUAUGCUGCGCAUUGUGGCAUGGAUUGGUAAUCUCAGAUAACAUGAAUAUUGAAGCAGUAGGAUCAAAAAUUCAAGAUCUUAUUCCCAACACAACGUAAGUGAGCAUGAUGCUCUAUACCUGUAAUCUGAGUAGCUGGAAGACAGACGCAAGAACAUCAGGAGUUUGCUUAUAGAAGACUGAGGCCAUUCUGUUUUACCUUCAACAUCGACUCAAACAAGCAAACAGACAAAAACCCAAAGCUUUUUGCUUUAUUCAUUAGAUAUAGUCACACAUGGACUAAUAAAAAUAUCUGGAGACCUUAGUUUUCCAGGAUGGAAUAUCUACAAAAUAAUGACAUACUUUAUACUUUGAAUACUUCCGUCAAUCUUCAUUAAAAAGAACAUUCACUGGAGACAUCCAGGGCUGUUUGGAAAAUCCUGCCACAUUAUGUUUUAUGUAAUAUCUGCUGUCUUUCCUCUCUUGGUUGCUGGAGAUUCAUUUACUUACUGUAAUGAUCCUAAUGAAGGUAGAUAGUUAAACUCACAGUAUUAAAUCAUAUUACUCUUUCUUUGUUAAUGUGCAUCCCUGUAAGGAUUCAGAGUUAAGCUGCUCUGGUACAGGUGAGUCUAGGGAAGUGGGUGGCUCAGUGUAUUUGUUUUCUCUUUCAAAAGAUUAAAAUGAGUAACUUCAAUUUUUAAACAUUAUUGUGGACAGUUUUUUUUCUUUUUUAAUGAAAUUUAAUCUGAACAUGAUUAAGAAUACAGAUUCAAUAGUACUUCAUUUUGGCUCAAGUGGACAUUCUGCAUUUAAGAUUUGAUUUUAAAUAUAGAUCAGUUUAUUGAUGAAUUUUACAUAAAGGCUAAUCAAGCUUAGUGUGGAUUUCUCACUGGCUCUUGACCUAGAUGACUUUCUAGCUAGGAUGCCAUCAGAGCACACAGAGACACGCAGGAUGAGGAAGAACGGAACGAUCCUCCUGUACACAUCAGAGUGCUUGCUGAGAAUUCCUAUUUUGAGCAGCUCUGGAACUCAGCUGCUAUGGCAGGACACCUCCGUUGUACCCUUCUGUAAGGGACCUGCCAUUACUCUCUCUCCACUGACCAUUUUUCCAACAAACACCUUUUAAUAGCUCAAGAGUUUGUGUUGUUGUUAGCUAACCUACUAAAACUGAGAAACUAGGUUUGCAUUCAUCUAUACAAAGUAUAUCCAAAAACCCUGUCUUUCACUUGUAAAUUCGGAUACU
rnacentral:lncRNA from 1 species